AUAUGUAUAUAUAUGUGUGUAUAUAUAUAUAUAUAUAUAUAUAUGUUUAUUUUGUCUCUAUUCUAUUUUGUAUGUUACUUUGCCAAUACUAUUCUUUUUUAUAUCUAAGAUAGAGUGCCUGGAUACUAGUGAUAAAAAAAGGCUGACAGAUUAUCUGAUAGAAUGUGGUAAUCAUCGCUUGUAAUAUAAUUUAAACUGUGUCAAUGUCAUGACACACUUACAUAUUAGGGCUGAGUAAUAUAUAGCAAUAUAUAGUUACAAUAUCUAUAUACUGGUUCAAUGACGAAUAUGUCAAAAAUUUGUUAUCCAAAAAGUAAUAUUGGAUAACAGACUUUUAACACAUUCAAAAAUAGAUAUUCAACCAAUAUGGGCGAUAUCGAAAUGGGUGUCAUCACCCUUUUAGAUACUCGCCUUUUUUCCGCCGUUAAUAUCCAGAGAAAUCCAAUAUAUAUAUAUAUAUUGGAUCGGUAUUCAUAUUACCCAUGCCUUUUGCACAUUGUAUUUUGUAUUUCUUGUAUGUUCACUAACAAACUGUUAAAAUAUUUCACAACGACUCCAAAACAACUUGUAAAUGUUAUAUUAAAUUUUAUUAAAAGAAGCGCAAGUUUAGUGUCGCUAGUUGAUGCCAUAAAAAACAUCACGUUUUGCUCAAAGCGCCAAAGACUAUGAUUUUUAUUCCUUGUCGACGUUUAAAUUCUUUAUUUAUACAUUAUACUCUGUAUUUAUAUACAUUCCCAGGCUUUGUCCGCGCUGAAUAUGAUCAGAAAAUGCAAUAAUUACGUCGUAAAAAUGUGACUACCAUUGUGAUUGAUUCAGACAAUAUUUUUCUAUUGAAGGAUAAGAAAUAUACAAAUAAGUUUAAUUGUUUUUUGUUCAUUUUUUAAUAAUUUAUUGUUGCGGAAUAAUAUAACUUGUAUUGAUUAGAGGUGGGUAACAUAUAGCAAUAUCUAUAUAUUUUAGUUACAAUAUCUAUGUACUGGGCCCAUAACAUGGAUUUUGCCUUUUAUUUACCAUAUCACGACUGUAACAAAUUUUUCUUAAAUAUCUGCUAUGUACAGACAUCCUUUAGUUAUGAUUUGAUUAUAUUAAUGAGAUUUUUUUAUUAAUAAUAUUAAUCUUUGAUGAUUUUAACAUAAUAAAUAAUAGUUGUAAAAUAUUGUCUACUUCAAUCACUAAAACAUUUUGUAUUUGAGACAAAAAUACUAAGAUGUGAUCCAAGUUAUUUGUACUGAAUAGUGUUGUCAUAACAGCGAGGACAUAGCUUUAGAUAUGUGAUUGUUUACGCUUUAAGACGCCAUUUAAAGCUAGCUAAUUGCCCCGGUUUUACACGGAUACCAAAUAGGAUUGUAUGAAUUCCUAUCAAAAUGAAUUGCGUUGUUUUAGAAGGGGAGAAACAGUUUUUAUGGUAUGUAGAGUAUUAUUUAGUACAGUAGAUGGUGAUUUAACCCUUUGAGUGUCGACGAGCGCAAUCGCACUCGUGCGCAUUGCAACUAAAAGUGCCACGAGCGUCACAGCGCUCGUGAAAUCAGUCGCUGUUCAGCUUGCUGUAAAAAAAAAUAUAAAUAUAUUAAAAUUGGAUAAUUUUUGGAGGAGAUACAGUUUUUUUUUAGAGACAAAGGUCAAUGACAUCAACACGACAAAGAUUUCUUUGGCAUUUUUAAGUAGAUAUGAGUAAAAAUCGAUGGCACAAAAAGGGUUAAAAUGAAUUGUUAGCUAUGUGUGGCGUCUUAAGACAGUAUAUGGUCAGGCAUUUGUGUAUUAUUUUCAUUUAGAAUAGCUAGUCUAUGUUUUAUUUUAUUUAACUGAAAUACAUGCAAUUAUUGAAUGAAAUCUACCCUGUUCUUUUGCCUGUUUGGCUUAGUAUUAAAGGGAAUCUCGUUUAAUUAUGAAUUAUUAUUAUUAGGGGACAGUUGACUCAGAAAAUUGUUCUAAUUUGAUUAUCGUGAAAGAAGAAUGGAAUGUAAUUGGUAAUUCACAAUUUGUGAGGUCUGUAUGAUCUCCAUCGAUUAUUGCCGUCUCGCUCAGACUGUACGCGUGCGAGCAGAUUAAACACUGGGGAGUUUCAUACAUAUGCUUUCUUAUUACUUAAAUAUUACGAAUAGAUGUAAUUUUAUUCACUAGUCAAAAAAAAAAAAAAGUUAUUCUUUAAAAAAUAAAAAUAUUUUCAAAUGUAUUAAUUUAUGUUUACGAUGUUUAUCUUAUUUUAAUCGGCCAACACUGCUAGCGUUGUCCUUUUCUUAUGUAUAAUUUAUUGAAGUGUGCGACAAAGACAACGGUAUAUAAUGUUGUGUUGCUAGCGGUGUGUGGCUUUUGUCAUUUAUCUUAUAGGUUUAUUCCAAUUUCUAUUAUGUCGAAUAGAGUACCGUUGCAUUUAUUGUAUUCAUAUCGAGAUACAGCUCAAAGCUAUCAGUGAUCACGCCCUCUAGACAAGUGGCAAGCGAAUUUAUCGAUGGAAUAGAGUCCGUAAGGUAGAAUGAGAUAGCAACGUCGUAUGUCUCAUUCUAACUCAUGGAGUCGCUAACGAUGUCGAUUCUAUGGAUAAAUUAGCUUGCCACUUGUCUACAGGGCCUGAAGUGUAAUACGCAUCUUUGGUAAAAUUUGAUGUCGAAUCACAAUACAAUAUAGUUUUAUUGUAUAGCACAAUAGCGAAUUGAUGGAUUUUAUCGUAAUAAAACGUUUACCUUAUUCCAAUAAUGAAGUACCGCGUUCGUGAUUCACUGUUCAUCCCAAAGGUUGACUGGUAGAGAAUGCUACUAGCAUUAAGUACGCCUUUUGUACCAUAUUUUCUUUUGACCAAUAAAAUUAAAUAAAAACCAGAGGGAGACUUUGUACAAAAGUCGAUUGCUUGGGUACCUCUGUCCCAUUCGUGUUUCAACCGUGAAGCAGUUGUGUUGGCAUGACUGUGUUUCGGUUUGAAGGGUGGGAUAUGGCGUGAAUUUACUGGGUACAGAGGAGUAACACCUGAGUCCUCAGGAGUGGCAACGCAUGGGGGGUAUCAUGGGCGAAACAGUAUACUCUGUUAUGUCCAUAGUACUGCUCAUGUCUAUAGGCAACGGUUACCACUUUCCAUCAGGUGGGCCAUCAGCUUGUUUGCCAUUCUAAGUGGCAUAAAAAAAAAAAAAAAAAAAAAAAUUAUUUAAAAAAAAAAUUAUACAGUUCCCGCGCAAAUGAUUAGACAACCAUAGACAAUGAAUUUUGUGAAAACACUUUUCUUUAUUUAAACUAUAUGCAUUAAUAUAAAGUGAUACUAUAGAGCCGGAUUAAUGCUAUUAAAAUUCUCAAACCAAUAUUUUGAGAAGUGCAAAGGUUCUCAAAGAGUGUAUUUGUUACUUCAUAGUCGCGUAAAUUCAUGCUCAAGUUGUUUACCGGUGUCUUUGUCAACACACGAGUUUUAUUUUUGAUUGAAUUUUAUAGCAACCAGUAUUAUAAAAUCAAUACGACUAAAUCCAUCAAAUGUGUAAAAUAAAAUACAUUGUAAACGUACUAAAAUGCUUUUGUGAAGACCCUAUAGAAGCGUGAUUGUUUGAAGUUUCAAUUUUUAUUACGCGUUUCGUAAGCAAAUUUGUUUUGUAAUGUCAUUACAAUAAAGUCCACUUUUAUCACUAAAGCUAGUGUUAUCCAUUGAAAUUAAUUUCAAUUGGAUAUUCUCUAUGCUUUCAACUAUUGUUUUUAUAUGUAAUUGUUUUUUUUUUUUAUUUUUUAACCAAAGAACACUUGGUUUUCUGGUAUCAUAGGGAUCUUCACAUGACAAUUGGCCAAUGUAUUCUCCGCUGGCUCUCUAAUUAAAAUCAUUUCCAUACAUACCAAAGUUGUGAAAUGACAAUAAACUCAUUGAAACGAAAUUAAAACUUCCAGAUUAUUCUUUCACAUCCACUUUUGUAAAUUGUAAUUAAUUGUAAUUGUUCGUGUAUGUAUUUAUCUUUUAUUAAGAUUCGCUACAAAGAUUGGAGUUAGUGCCAAUGUAAUUCGUUUGUUAUGUAAUUUCACAUAAUACAACCUUUUACUAAUGUAAAUGUACAGUUAAAAUAAAGUAGUUAAAUCAGUAUUCAGUAAAUUUCGUUUAAAUCAAAUGAAACUUUUAGAAAUGUGAAUUCAGACAGUUUCAAUAACGUCUAUUUAUAUCUAUAUUGUAACUAAAACUGUCAAAUGUACAUCCAUAUGAUGUUUUUUCGAUGUGAUUUCGAGUUUAUCCCAAUUUCAAUUGCAUCAAAAGUCGUUCUACUGUGUCGUUUCAAUAUGUUUCGUCAUCAAAUGAGAAUUAUUAGCAACUGAAUUACGUCAUCUAGACAAAGUGCAAGAAUGUUUUUUUAAUAUAUUAAUUAUUAUCGAUUUAUGGGCGUUGAAUAUUUUUUUCUUUUCAAAUGGUUCAGUAGUCUAGUAUUGUUUGGGAACCACUGAUUUAAGAUUUGAAGUAUUGGUUCCGAUAUAUCAGGGGGUUUUAUUAUUAAAAUUUACAAUGGUAUUUAUAAAUAUAUUUAUAUUAGUAAAAGUUUGAUACCAGAUCAGGUAACCUGGCCGUGUGAAUGAGUGUAAUUUAUGUAUUUUGUAUGUAGUCAACCUACAGAUAUCCUAGCGUAAGGCUCAAUAUUUGGAGAUAUUUUUAUUAUUUUGCAUUUUUUUAUUAAACUCUUGCUAAAC